GUGCCAGCAGCCGCGGUAAGACAGAGGUGGCAAGCGUUGUUCGGAUUUAUUGGGUGUAAAGGGCAGGUAGGUGGCUAUGUAAGUCCGGUGUGAAAUCCCAGGGCUCAACCCUGGAACUGCAUUGGAAACUACAUGGCUUGAGUACCGGAGAGGUAAGAGGAAUUCUCGGUGUAAGGGUGAAAUCUGUAGAUAUCGAGAGGAACACCAGUGGCGAAGGCGUCUUACUGGCCGGUUACUGACACUGAGCUGCGAAAGCAAGGGGAGCAAACAGGAUUAGAUACCCCUGUAGUCC
rnacentral:rRNA from 1 species